UUAAGCAUAUCAAUAAGCGGAGGAAAAGAAACCAACAGGGAUUGCCUCAGUAACGGCGAGUGAAGCGGCAACAGCUCAAAUUUGAAAUCUGGCGGCCUCUGGGCCGUCCGAGUUGUAAUUUGAAGAGGAUGCUUUUGGCGAGGCGCCUUCCGAGUGCCCUGGAACGGGACGCCACAGAGGGUGAGAGCCCCGUAUGGUUGGACGCCGAGCCUCUGUAAAGCUCCUUCGACGAGUCGAGUAGUUUGGGAAUGCUGCUCAAAAUGGGAGGUAAACCCCUUCUAAAGCUAAAUACUGGCCAGAGACCGAUAGCGCACAAGUAGAGUGAUCGAAAGAUGAAAAGCACUUUGAAAAGAGAGUUAAACAGCACGUGAAAUUGUUGAAAGGGAAGCGCUUGCGACCAGACUUGUGCUCGUCGAAUCAGCCGCCGCUCGUCGGCGGCGCACUUCGGCGGGCUCAGGCCAGCAUCAGUUCGCUGCAGGGGGAGAAAGGCGAUGGGAAUGUGGCUCUUCGGAGUGUUAUAGCCCGCCGCGCAAUACCCCUCGGCGGACUGAGGACCGCGCAUCUGCAAGGAUGCUGGCGUAAUGGUCGUCAGCGACCCGUCUUGAAACACGGACCAAGGAGUCGUCCUAAUAUGCGAGUGUUCGGGUGUAAAACCCCUGCGCGUAAUGAAAGUGAACGGAGGUGAGAGCUUCGGCGCAUCAUCGACCGAUCCUGAUGUUCUCGGAUGGAUUUGAGUAAGAGCAUAUUGGGCCGGACCCGAAAGAAGGUGAACUAUGCCUGUAUAGGGUAAAGCCAGAGGAAACUCUGGUGGAGGCUCGCAGCGGUUCUGACGUGCAAAUCGAUCGUCAAAUAUGGGCAUGGGGGCGAAAGACUAAUCGAACCUUCUAGUAGCUGGUUUCCGCCGAA
rnacentral:rRNA from 1 species